rnacentral:rRNA from 1 species
CGAGACGCAGCUAACGCAUUAAGUUCCCCGCCUGGGGGAGUACGGCCGCAAGGCUAAAACUCAAAGGAAUUGACGGGGACCCGCACAAGCGGCGGAGCAUGCGGAUUAAUUCGAUGCAACGCGAAGAACCUUACCAAGGCUUGACAUAUACGAGAACGGGCUAGAAAUAGUCAACUCUUUGGACACUCGUAAACAGGUGGUGCAUGGUUGUCGUCAGCUCGUGUCGUGAGAUGUUGGGUUAAGUCCCGCAACGAGCGCAACCCUCGUUCUAUGUUGCCAGCACGUAAUGGUGGGAACUCAUGGGAUACUGCCGGGGUCAACUCGGAGGAAGGUGGGGAUGACGUCAAAUCAUCAUGCCCCUUAUGUCUUGGGCUUCACGCAUGCUACAAUGGCCGGUACAAAGGGCUGCAAUACCGUAAGGUGGAGCGAAUCCCAAAAAGCCGGUCCCAGUUCGGAUUGAGGUCUGCAACUCGACCUCAUGAAGUCGGAGUCGCUAGUAAUCGCAGAUCAGCAACGCUGCGGUGAAUACGUUCCCGGGUCUUGUACACACCGCCCGUCAAGUCAUGAAAGUCGGUAACAC